AGGCAAUACGAUCAGGCCAGCAACCUUCUCAGGAGAAAGAAGGUUCUUCGCUUGGAAAGAAAAUCCAUUCCCUGCCAGGUGAGAACAUUGAAAAGGCCAUCUGCCGUCACCUUUUGGAGCCAGAGGUGGAAACAGUUAGAACUGGGGAGAAAAACACAAUUUUGAGAAGACCUUCAACUGAGUUUGAGGAUACUAACUUCAAUAUCAAUCUGAGAUGUAGUGUGAAUAUUAAAGGCACGAAACACUGCCCCCUCCUGGUCAGAAAUGCCUUGCAAUGACUGCUCUGAUGAUCCUGGUACAUCAAUCUUUACUGGCACACCAGCUGCUGGAGAGCCAUCUGGGAGACUCAUGACUACCUAAAAUAACAUCAAACAAAAUCUGUCACAUUCAAAGCCAUCACAGUCAUCUGUUUAGCUGUGUACCCAUUUAUGAGUUCAAUGCAUACCACCACAUCUAGUGGAUAUCCAGGAAUGAAGUAGGAGCGAGUUCGAGACAGAUCCAUGGUGUAUUUGUGGGAGAUUACUGGAAGAUAAACCUCUGCCUCUUGCAUUUCACCACCUGGGUUAAAAAAGUGCACGUGGCAAUAUCAGCUAUAAUGAAAAAUCACCAUCAUAGUCCCAGUAUCUUCCUCUUCUUCUUCUGAUACUCUCUCAAAUACAAGGUGGCACACCUCAAGGAAAUUAUUCUUAAAUUUCAAGAUGAAUUAUUAUUAUUAAUCCCAGAAGUAGUACUAGUAGAAGGAGUAGGAAUAGAAGAAUUGUUCUUGUCAUUUUCAAAAUACCAGAAAUAUUCCUGUAGCAUCUGCCUAUAGAAAUCAUGUUAUGAAUAUAUAAUAUUUAAUGUUAAGUUUUAAGUCACAAUAGGGUACUUUUUGGGAUUCUUGCUAUAAUAUCACAAUAGCUCUGGGGGCAUAUUCAGAAGUUUGCAGUAUAUUUGUCAGAUAAUUCCAUGAACUACAUGAUUAUGGUAAUUCCUUUAACUAUUUCACUAUAUUUAACUAAUUUUAAACUAUUAUUAAAUAAUUAUCUAUAGUGACAAUUCAAUUUGUUCUGGGAGUUGGCUCGCUUAAAUAAUGGUAUAUAGUGUGAUAUCAUUUCCUUUACUUUGUAUGUUUGUGACAAACACUCCCAAAUAGAGUUGUGCUCCACUUUGCUGUAAAUCAGAGAGGGUUCGGUUCAGCCUGUUUUGGAGCUGAUCAUUUACGGUUGCUAUUUGGAGAGAAACACUUGCACUUCCUCUGUCAACCUGCAAAAAAAAAGGGGGGGGGGAAAAGCAUUAAUUGUUGGUUUUCAUCAUGAAAUGAGCUGCAUCAUAAAUCUGUUUCCUUACCGAACCAGUCAGGUCCAGUCCACCGAUUAAGACAGGCUUUAUUUUUUUUUGAUCAUGGUUUCUACGUUUUUCUAACACUCCAACUUGACAGUGGUAAGCCCCUUUAACCUUUUCACCAUGUGAAUACCUAGAAAUAAAAUCAUUUUAAAAGUGGGAAUUUUUAAGUUAAGACAAACACUGAGUGUGAAAAUGAGAAAGGAAACCCAAACUAUGAUGUUGGCCUAUGUUGAAAACUAUGCAGUUUUAACGGAAAAGCUUGACAUUACACAGAUUUAACAGGAAAUCAAUCAACACUUACAUGGCUGAGAUGGUGAAGACAAACUGUUCAGCAUUCAGCAAAAUGUAUUUCUCCUCCAUUUCAAUGCUCACCCCAAAACUCGGUAAAACUAGGGUGUGUAACAAAAAAAAUGUUUUUAGAUUGAAGAAAUAUUUUAUAUUCUUGAUUUAAUUGAUUUAUCUAUGCAUAAAAAAGGAAAUGAAUUAAAUUAGAGGCUUACCAAAUUUUUGGACUUUGAACUCUCGAGAAACAGAAUGUGGUUCAUCAUCUUCAUAGUGAGCUGUAAUCUUCCAUGUGCCCAUUCUUUAUAAACAAAAUAUACAUUUGUUAUUCUGAUUCUGUCACAGUUGCUCGUGCUGUCACGUAAGUCAAAGUUUAUUGCAAAUCUGUUGUAACAUACUCAGAGACAUCAGGUAUGGAGAAUGUGCCUUUGAAUAUUCCUCCCCGUGCAGAUCUAAGGGACUUCAUUAUUUUGUUUCCAGCAGCAUUCUGUCAUAAAUUGAUGAAAGCAUGAA